GGUGUUGUGCGUGCGUGCGUGGGUGGCGACGGGUUGUAGAUCCGGGAGGUUAGUUAACUCAGGUGAAGGUAGCAAGCCUCUUGGGCGCCAGGGUCGACUCCGUUCUAAGUGCUCCGUCAGGCGACCCGCGAUGCCUUAACUCGGAGUCGGAUGCCUAGUGAGCGACUCUAUAGUAUAGUGGUUCCCCAGGCCUCUGCUCAACACUUGAGGUCUAGUACCAAGGGGACGUUCCCUCUCUCACACACACGUACACGCCCCGUUCACCCCAGUCGGUUAGGGGAGCGGACAGUUUUCGGGAGUGUGGCGGACCUGGGGUUUGGCUUAAGUGAGUCGACUGUGUCAAAGGGGGAAAAAAAAGGCGCCUUCGCGGCGGAGGUACAGGUCCCUACUUAGGGUUUCGGAGGCGGAAUCUUGCGCCCGGAGGGGGCCGCGCAUAACUUUCCGAUCCGAAAAGCACCGAAAGGCGAAAACAAAACAAAACAAAAACCCCCCAACGAUCCGUCAUGCCAACUAAGCUAGGGGGCUCUGAGAAGGCAACAAGGCGUUCCGGGGGCGGCGGGGCCAAACAGAAGGUUGAGGUUCAAUUCGGGAGCUAGAAAGCGUAGAAAGAGGGUUUCGCGGGUAGCGCGUUCCAAGGGAGCGAAGGGCUGAGGAGGAACAUUCUGACACAGUUGCGCUCAAAACUAACUCUCACCCUGAAAGAAAGGAAAAACAAGGCAGGGAAAACUGUUGGCAAACUGGAAAGUAGAAAGGCAGGCGGGUGGACGGGGGUAGGGGGGGAUUCUGCCCAAGCCAAUCAGUGGCGCUAGGGCCGAUGACGUCACAACCAAUGGACAGCCAGCGCGGGACUUUCAAUUAGUGUCCCGCCCAAUCGGGAAAAGACUGUGCCUAUAAAGACCGCUGCGGUGGGCUGAUCCCGGUUCCUGUCCUUGUGUAUCGCUGCGCUGGUGAGCUUGUGCCUCGGUUCGCUAUGGCCCGUACAAAGCAGACUGCCCGCAAGUCGACCGGUGGCAAGGCCCCGCGGAAGCAGCUGGCCACCAAGGCGGCCCGCAAGAGCGCGCCGGCCACCGGCGGCGUCAAGAAGCCGCACCGCUACCGGCCGGGCACCGUGGCCCUGCGGGAGAUCCGGCGCUACCAGAAGUCGACCGAGCUGCUGAUCCGCAAGCUGCCCUUCCAGCGGCUAGUGCGCGAGAUCGCGCAGGACUUCAAGACUGAUCUGCGCUUCCAGAGCUCGGCCGUGAUGGCGCUGCAGGAGGCGAGCGAGGCCUACCUGGUGGGGCUGUUUGAAGACACGAACCUGUGUGCUAUCCACGCCAAGCGCGUGACCAUCAUGCCCAAAGACAUC